AAUUAGGUUCAGAUGAGUUUAAGGGUUUAAAAUGAGUCAUCAUCGGCUUUUCUAACCGUAUUUGUGAUGGUUUCGUCUGCUACUUCAAAACCAAAAUUAGGAAAGGUAGAAUAAAAUUAUGAAAAGGCUAAAACCCUCCAAGCAGAAAGACAAACCAAAAUGAAAUUUUCACUUGUCAACGCCGAAGCAUUGUUAAAAACACACGGACAAGAACAAAAAAAAAAAAGAAGAAGAAGAAGAAGAGGAAGAAAGAAAAUACAUUUGACAGCUUCUAGCCCUAGCCGGCUGCAUUAGCGUCUUAGAGCAGGGAACCGCAACACUGCGCAGGCUCCUGGAUCAGACGAACCCUGGGAGGUCUCCCGCGCAGGCGCACGAAUGGGGAAGUGGGCGGGGUCGCGCAUGCUCCCCGGCUCACUUCCGGCCAGCCCCUCCCCUCCCCCCUCCCCCGCGAAACCACCGCCCCUCUCCCUUGUCGCCUGGCUCUCCCUCGUCGCCAGCCUCUCCCUCAGCUCUCUCCACCCCUCGUGGUCUCCGCCCUGCUCACCGCCAGCCCUUCCCCUCCCGCUCCAUCCGGGUCGCUGACGGCUUGUCUCUCGGUCCGGAGAGUGCUGGCGGCAGCGUUUCUCGGAGGAGCCUGGGAAAGUUUCACGGGCGAGCCGGGCAGCAGAGGCAGCGGAGCUGCGGUCGGGGACGUCGGAGGAGCCGUGGUAAUCGCCGCGGCCGGCUGAAGGAGGAAGGUCUUGGGAGCUGGAGAGCCGCCCAGAGGUCCAGGGAGCGUCCGUCCUCCAUCGCUUAGGGCUCUCCCUGCCCUGAGAGACCCGAUAAGAACUUCCAUUUUCUGUUGAUGUGGAGACAUAGGGUACCUCCCAGUUUCCAGUGUUUCAGAAGGGACUUUUGUAUUGAAACUGGAAGACCAAGGUCAUUCCAAGCAUGUUGUGCUGGGGCAAUGCAUCCUAUGGACAACUAGGUUUGGGAGGAAUUGAUGAAGAAAUUGUACUAGAGCCCAGGAGAAGUGACUUUUUCGUGAACAAAAAGGUCCGAGAUGUAGGCUGUGGACUCAGGCACACUGUGUUUGUCCUGGAUGAUGGGACUGUGUACACAUGUGGAUGUAAUGAUCUAGGACAGCUAGGUCAUGAAAAGUCCAGAAAGAAACCAGAGCAGGUUGUUGCCCUGGAUGCCCAGAAUAUCGUAGCUGUUGCGUGUGGAGAAGCUCACACGUUAGCGCUGAAUGACAAGGGCCAGGUGUAUGCUUGGGGUCUCGACUCUGACGGACAGCUUGGCCUACAGGGAUCAGAGGAAUGUAUCAGAGUACCCAGAAAUAUUAAAAGUCUUUCGGAUAUCCAGAUAGUACAGGUUGCGUGUGGUUACUAUCAUUCGCUUGCACUUUCUAAAGCAAGUGAAGUUUUCUGUUGGGGACAGAAUAAAUAUGGCCAGCUGGGUCUAGGCAUUGAUUGUCAAAAGCAAACUUCACCACAGCUGAUUAAGUCUUUGCUUGGAAUACCAUUCAUGCAAGUCGCAGCAGGAGGAGCCCAUAGUUUUGUACUCACCCUUUCCGGAGCUAUCUUUGGAUGGGGACGUAACAAAUUUGGUCAGCUAGGUCUUAAUGAUGAAAAUGAUAGGUAUGUUCCUAAUUUACUAAAGUCACUAAGAUCUCAGAAAAUAGUUUAUAUUUGUUGCGGAGAAGAUCAUACUGCUGCAUUAACCAAGGAAGGUGGAGUGUUUACCUUUGGAGCUGGGGGCUAUGGCCAGCUGGGUCAUAAUUCUACCAGUCAUGAGAUAAAUCCCAGGAAAGUUUUUGAACUCAUGGGAAGCAUUGUUACUCAGGUCGCUUGUGGAAGGCAGCAUACCUCUGCAUUUGUUCCUUCUUCAGGACGAAUUUACUCCUUUGGUCUUGGUGGUAAUGGGCAGUUGGGAACUGGUUCAACCAGCAACAGAAAAAGCCCUUUCACUGUAAAAGGAAACUGGUUUUCUUAUAAUGGACAGUGUCCACAAGAUAUUGGUUCUGAAGACUAUUUCUGUGUCAAAAGAAUUUUCUCAGGUGGAGAUCAAAGCUUUUCACAUUACUCUAGUCCUCAGAACUGUGGACCUCCAGAUGACUUUAGAUGCUCCGACCCUUCCAAGCAGAUCUGGACAGUGAACGAAGCUCUGAUUCAGAAAUGGCUCAGCUACCCCUCUGGAAGGUUCCCUGUGGAGAUAGCCAAUGAGAUAGAUGGAACAUUUUCUUCAUCUGGCUGCCUAAAUGGAAGUUUUCUGGCUAUUAGCAAUGACGAUCACUAUAGAACAGGUACCAGAUUUUCAGGGGUUGAUAUGAACGCUGCUAGACUCUUAUUCCACAAACUUAUACAACCUGAUCAUCCUCAGAUAUCUCAGCAGGUGGCAGCUAGUUUGGAAAAGAAUCUAAUCCCUAAACUGACUAGUUCCCUACCUGAUGUUGAAGCUCUGAGGUUUUAUCUUACCCUGCCAGAGUGUCCCCUGAUGAGUGACUGCAACAAUUUCACAACAAUAGCAAUCCCCUUUGGUACAGCUCUUGUGAACCUAGAAAAGGCACCACUGAAAGUACUUGAAAACUGGUGGUCAGUACUUGAACCUCCACUAUUCCUCAAGAUAGUAGAACUUUUUAAGGAAGUUGUGGUACAUCUUUUGAAACUCUACAAGAUCGGCAUUCCCCCUUCUGAAAGAAGAAUUUUCAACAGUUUUCUUCAUACCGCAUUAAAGGUUUUAGAAAUAUUGCAUAGGUGUAAGAAAUAGUACACUUUACACUGUAGAAGUGCAAAGUUACAUGAAGAAAUAGAGUCUCAGCUGUCUGAUUAAAGAUGGAUUUGAGUCAUCCCUGACAGUUGGUAAAUGAGAAAACAGGACAACUUAUUCAAUAUGACAAGUUUUACAUCCAUGAAGUCCAAGAGCUGAUAGACAUAAGGAAUGACUAUAUCAACUGGGUCCAGCAGCAAGCCUAUGGAGUGUUGGCAGAUAUCCCGGUGACAAUUUGUACAUAUCCAUUUGUAUUUGAUGCCCAGGCAAAAACUACUCUGCUCCAGACAGAUGCAGUCUUGCAGAUGCAGAUGGCCAUUGACCAGGCCCACAGGCAGAAUGUCUCCUCUCUUUUUCUCCCAGUGAUCGAGUCUGUGAAUCCUUGCUUAAUUCUAGUUGUUCGCAGAGAGAAUAUUGUAGGAGAUGCGAUGGAAGUCCUCAGGAAAACCAAGAAUAUAGAUUAUAAAAAGCCACUCAAGGUUAUAUUUGUUGGAGAAGAUGCUGUUGAUGCAGGAGGUGUUCGCAAAGAAUUUUUCUUGCUUAUCAUGAGGGAAUUGUUGGAUCCUAAAUACGGCAUGUUUCGAUAUUAUGAAGAUUCCAGGCUCAUUUGGUUUUCAGAUAAGACAUUUGAAGACAGUGAUUUGUUCCACUUGAUCGGUGUUAUCUGUGGAUUAGCAAUUUAUAAUUUUACCAUUGUGGACCUCCAUUUCCCUUUGGCUUUAUAUAAGAAACUGCUGAAAAGGAAGCCGUCCCUGGAUGAUCUGAAAGAGCUGAUGCCAGCCGUCGGGAGAAGCAUGCAGCAAUUGCUGGACUAUCCAGAAGAUGACAUAGAGGAAACAUUUUGUCUAAACUUUACGAUCACAGUUGAGAACUUCGGUGCAACAGAAGUAAAAGAGCUGGUUCUGAACGGGGCAGACACUGCUGUUAAUAGACAGAAUCGGCAGGAGUUUGUUGAUGCCUAUGUGGAUUACAUAUUCAAUAAAUCAGUGGCAUCUUUAUUUGAUGCUUUCCAUGCGGGCUUUCAUAAGGUCUGUGGAGGAAAAGUUCUUCUGCUCUUCCAGCCUAAUGAAUUACAAGCUAUGGUUAUUGGGAAUACAAAUUAUGAUUGGAAAGAACUGGAGAAGAAUACAGAAUACAAAGGAGAGUAUUGGGCAGACCAUCCCACGAUAAAAAUUUUUUGGGAAGUGUUUCAUGAAUUACCACUAGAGAAGAAGAAACAAUUUCUAUUAUUUUUGACAGGUAGUGAUCGGAUUCCCAUUCUUGGUAUGAAGAGUCUGAAACUAGUCAUCCAGUCAACAGGAGGUGGUGAGAGCUAUCUCCCGGUUUCCCAUACCUGUUUUAAUCUUCUAGAUCUCCCAAAAUAUACAGAGAAAGAAACCCUCCGAUGUAAACUGAUCCAAGCUAUUGAUCACAAUGAAGGCUUCAGUUUAAUAUGACCUUGGACUUUUCUGUUUAGUACAAAAACCACUCGUGUUUCUCUUGUGAAUUCAGCACAGUGAGAGUUACUUCUGUAAUUCUUACUUAUAAAUUGUUCACUACUGUACUGAUGAAAGCCCAAAAUUAAAAACUGUGCAUUAAUACUAAACUGUACAGAACCAUGAAUUGUCCAUCCUCAUACAAGUAUUGUGAAUACAUUAAAGUUUUACUCACAGGAAUUUUAAGAGUUUGCAUAUUUCGGAAAUUACCUGAUGUGUGGGUGCAUGGAAAUGUUGCUUACUGUUUCUUCAAUCACUGGGGGGAAAGACUACGAUGGCCUGCCCACAGUCAUUUGAUUAUUUUUCCAUUUUGUAAAUAAAAAUUUUGUAAUAAAAUAGUGACAUUCAGAUA